rnacentral:rRNA from 1 species
UGGGGAAUAUUGGGCAAUGGGCGGGAAGCCUGACCCAGCAACGCCGCGUGAAGGAAGAAGGCCCUCGGGUUGUAAACUUCUUUUGUCAGGGACGAAGCAAGUGACGGUACCUGACGAAUAAGCCACGGCUAACUACGUGCC